rnacentral:tRNA from 1 species
GGUCCUGUGGCCUAGCGGCAAAGGCAGCUUCCUUACAAGAAGAUGAUCGGUGGUUCGAGUCCACCCAGGACUAC